CAGCACUGAAGAUCAAAAGUUGAAAAAGGUUGUGUCAAAUACGGCUAAGUUUGUAUGCUUGGGAUAAGAACAUCCUAAUUAUUUAGAACAAUUAAUGCUAUUGCAAACAGUAAAUUUUAUCAAAUGAAUAUAACAGAUAUACAUAAUGAAACUGAAGUAUUAACUCAUUACAUAAAACAAACACGAAUACAUAAUGAAUGACUAACACAGAAUAGACACACCCGACUCAGUCCAGGCCUCAACGCAGUAAAUUAUGAAAAUGACGUCACAUACGACAGUGAAAAGGCAUUAAAAAUUACGUCACAUACGAUGGUGAAAAGGCAUUAAAAAUUUGAACAUAUGAAAUUUCUGAAACAGCAGAAAAAUUGCGUCACAUAUGAAAAACUAUAUCUCAAAAGUAAGAUAGAAUUAUG
rnacentral:lncRNA from 1 species